AUGCGCGCUAGGGAGCAAGCGUUGGUGAGGAAAUGUGAGGAGGCACAGAAGAAGCAUCAACAGGAUUUUGAAGAAAGAACCAUGAAGCUUUGGGCAAUUGCAGCUGAAAAAGAAGAGAGGGACAAUCAGAUAUUCAUGGAGAGGGUGGUUAAGGAGGCUCACCUCAUAAGAAAAAGGGAGGAGGAAGAGGAAGAAGGGAGGAAGAAGAAGGGAAAGGGGCCUUGCUCUACGCAAUAG
rnacentral:rRNA from 1 species